GGUGAGUCUAAAAUAUACUUUGGGGCCAGGCGCACAGAUCACUUAACGUCAGGAGUUCCAGACUAUCCUGGCCAACAUGGCAAAACCCCGUGUCUACUAAAAAUACAAAAAUUAGCCACGCAUGCACCUGUAGCUACUAGGGAGGCAGGAGAAUGGCUUGAACCUGGGAGGCAGAGGUUGCAGUGAGCCGAGAUCAUGCCACUGCACUCCAGCCUGGGCAACAGAACAAGACUGUCUCAAAACAAAACCUACUCUGGUGGUCUUUUCUGGGAAGCAGUGUUAGGAAUAUCGAACCUUUGAUGUAAGAACCUCCAUGUAAAAACAUAGUUCCCCAUGUAUCUAGAAAUAAGGCAUAAAUACAGCAUUCAGAUGGAAAUGGUGACAUGGAGAAAAGCAACACAUGCGGGACCACAGACUCAUGGGCAGUAGGAACAAAACUCCCCUUACGGUACCUCUAUUCAUCAGUACUUUGGUGAGGUGGAGACUCAGACCCAUCCAGAAUGGGUGAGACUGGGCAUGAUUCAGAAAAGCUGGAAGAUCUAGAGAGGGAUCUUGCAAUCUGAAGUUUGUUUAGUCACUGGAGGAUUUGAACGUCUAUGACACUCUUCCGAGCUGACACAGUGAAGAACAUGGAAGGAGAACUCACCCAGUCUGCCAGGGUCACAGAUGAUCAUACUCAAGAUCUUCCUGGGGAGUCAACGGCAAAUUUCACUGGG
rnacentral:sRNA from 1 species